CCCCCUCCCCGCGCGACGCGGCACGCCCGCCCCGCCCUCCCUCCCUUCCUCCUCGGCGCCGGCGCGCCGUCGAUCGAACGCACCCAACUUAGUUGCCACUACCAGGACUUCUAUUAAGCAGACUGUAUACACAUUAUCAGAUAAAAGGUGUGGAAAAGACUGCAAGUAGCCAUCAAGGUAAUUCUGAGAUGAGACAAGUGCUUAACAGACAAUGAGACAAUAUCAUUUGAUACUGAAGGUUCUACCCUGAAGUCACUCUCUGCCAUUAUUGACUGAAUGAACACAAACAAUUCUACAUGAGUUCCACUGGUUAGCUAGCUAUUACACAACUCUGCUCUACGCUGUAACGAACAACAGCUGGUGGGCUUGUGUCGUUACUCGAACCAGUAUAAUCCUGGAACGCAUGAUUGCCUCCAAAGUCACACCCUCUACACCCAGAGCUAAAGGUCAGGCUG